rnacentral:rRNA from 1 species
GACGUAGGGCGCGAGCGUUGUCCGGAAUUAUUGGGCGUAAAGAGCUCGUAGGCGGUUUGUCGCGUCGAAUGUGAAAACCCGGGGCUCAACUCCGGGCCUGCAUUCGAUACGGGCAGACUAGAGUUCGGUAGGGGAGACUGGAAUUCCUGGUGUAGCGGUGAAAUGCGCAGAUAUCAGGAGGAACACCGGUGGCGAAGGCGGGUCUCUGGGCCGAUACUGACGCUGAGGAGCGAAAGCGUGGGGAGCGAACAGG